rnacentral:rRNA from 1 species
GACGAACGCUGGCGGCGUGCUUAACACAUGCAAGUCGAACGGAAAGGCCCUGCUUUUGUGGGUUGCUCGAGUGGCGAACGGGUGAGUAACACGUGAGUAACCUGCCCUUGACUUUGGGAUAACUUCAGGAAACUGGGUCUAAUACCGGAUAUGUGCUCCUGCUGCAUGGUGGGGGUUUGAAAGUUUCGGCGGUUGGGGAUUGACUCGCGGCUUAUCAGCUUGUUGGUGGGGUAGUGGCUUACCAAGGCCUUGACGGGUAGCCGGCCUGAGAGGGUGACCGGCCACAUUGGGACUGAGAUACGGCCCAGACUCCUACGGGAGGCAGCAGUGGGGAAUAUUGCACAAUGGGCGGAAGCCUGAUGCAGCAACGCCGCGUGAGGGAUGACGGCCUUCGGGUUGUAAACCGCUUUCGCCAGUGAAGAAGCGUGAGUGACGGUAAUGGGUAAAGAAGCACCGGCUAACUACGUG